rnacentral:rRNA from 1 species
UAUUUUCCUUUUUUUCCCUCCGCCGCGGUAAUACGGAGGAUUCGAGCGUUAUCCGGAUUUAUUGGGUUUAAAGGGAGCGUAGGCGGGUUGUUAAGUCAGUUGUGAAAGUUUGCGGCUCAACCGUAAAAUUGCAGUUGAUACUGGCGACCUUGAGUGCAACAGAGGUAGGCGGAAUUCGUGGUGUAGCGGUGAAAUGCUUAGAUAUCACGAAGAACUCCGAUUGCGAAGGCAGCUUACUGGAUUGUAACUGACGCUGAUGCUCGAAAGUGUGGGUAUCAAACAGG